CACAGACAUGGCUUAAUUCGGGAGCUAGCCAUCAACGGUGACUUUACCUAGUGUUUGAAAACACAGUAAGGGAAUGGGAAAGCCUAGAAGAAAUUGUUCCUUAUUGGAGGUAACCUUUUCGGCGGCCAUCACUGACUUUGCCUAGGGAAACUUAUCAAUCAGUCCCUCCUUCCGACUACAAGCCAACGACGCAGCAAAAUACCCAGACCCCAAGAUGGCAAGAAAAUAGUAGCUGGCGUCUCUCCUUGCUUAAAGAAAUGAACAUAAGAACAGCGACAAGCUGCAAACUUCGUACGAC